rnacentral:lncRNA from 1 species
GUGAACUUUAGAAUCAGAAGACUGAUGUAACAAUAGAAGAUGAUAGGAUUUCAGUGGCUAAUUGUUCAUCCUUCUGUGCACUGGAAAGUGUCCUGAGACAAGAGCCACCAAAAGUCGUAUUUCUCAAGUUCAGGACCAAACAUUUCUGCGACCUGAAGAUUGUUUGUGGGCCACCAAGUGUUCUACUGUUACUAGAAGAGUUAUCGUCGCGAAUGGAUGAAGAAAUGUAUCGGUUUUGGAGAGUCAGAAACCCUGGGACCAACUGAC